AACUCUUAUCGGUGGAUCACUCGGCUCAUGCAUCGAUGAAGAACGCAGCUAGCUGCGGGAAUUAGUGUGAAUUGCAGGACACAUUGAUCAUCGACACCUCGAACGCACCUUGCGGCCCGGGUUCCUCCCGGGGCCACGCCUGUCUGAGGGUCG
rnacentral:rRNA from 1 species